rnacentral:lncRNA from 1 species
AAGGGAAAAUAGAUUUUUUUGUCACCCAACUUAUUAUUUGUUUAGAAACUUACCACUGAACUAUAAUUUUUUUCUUUUUUGUCACUAAUGUUAGGUUUGGACUUUUUUUUGUCAUUAAUGUUAGGUUCGGAUUUGAUUAUUAACACUAUGUUAUUUUUUUAGCAUUAUUAAUAUAUAGUGUUAGUCUGCAAUAUAAUGGCGAUCUGAUAUGUGUCUAUAUCUUUAUAUAUAGUGUCCAAGGUAGUUUACCUUGGAAGACGAGAGUUGAACACGCAUUUUGAGACUCCGAAAAAUUUUAAAAAUUAUUUUAUUUUAUUUUUUCUGAAUAGAAUUUAAUGUUGGUUUUUUUUCCUUAAAAAAAUGUUGGAUUUUUUUUUGUCACUAACGUUAUGUUUUGAUUUGAUUAUUAACAAUAUGUUAUUUUUUUAGCAUUAUAAAAACAUAGUGGUAUUUUAAAAACAUAGUGACAAGUAGUAUUUUAAAAACGUAAAAAGUUUAGUUUUAUAAAUUAUUUUAGGACUUCACAAAAAUAUAGUAUCACUUUACUUUAUAGUUCUUUACCACUACUUGUCACGUAUUUUAAGGUUCCCAUUUUUUAUAAAUAUAGUUCCAUAAGUUAAUUUUGAGAUUUCCUUUCUGAGUAAAAAAAUCCGUACUCUCGUCCUCCAAAAUAAACUACUUAAGACACACAUGGAGUACUACAUAUAAAGAUAUAGACACAUAUCACCAUUAUAUUGCAGACUAUCGAAAAAUAGAUUUCCGAAAAAUAUCGUUUAAAUGGUCAGAAAAAUAGAAUGACAUAGUGUUAAUAAUCAAAUCCGAACCUAGCGUUAGUGACAAAAAAAAAAUUAUAGUUCCAUAAGUUAAUUUUGAGAUUUCCUUUCUGAGUAAAAAAAUCCGUACUCUCGUCCUCCAAAAUAAACUACUUAAGACACACAUGGAGUACUACAUAUAAAGAUAUAGACACAUAUCACCAUUAUAUUGCAGACUAUCGAAAAAUAGAUUUCCGAAAAAUAUCGUUUAAAUGGUCAGAAAAAUAGAAUGACAUAGUGUUAAUAAUCAAAUCCGAACCUAGCGUUAGUGACAAAAAAAAAAUUCGAACCUAACAUUAGUGGCAAAAAAGGAAAAAAUUAUAGUUCAGUGAUAAUAAUCAAAUCCGAACCUAGCGUUAGUGACAAAAAAAAAUUCCGAACCUAACAUUAGUGGCAAAAAAGAAAAAAAUUAUAAUUCAGUGGUAGGUUUCUAAACAAAUAAUAAGUUGGGUGGCAAAAAAAUCUAUUUUCCCAC